rnacentral:rRNA from 1 species
UACGUAGGGACCGAGCGUUGUCCGGAAUCAUUGGGCGUAAAGAGCGUGUAGGCGGCCUUUUAAGUCCUGCGUGAAAUCCUGCGGCUCAACCGCAGACGGUCGUGGGAAACUGGAAGGCUAGAGUGCGGGAGAGGAGAGUGGAAUUCCUGGUGUAGCGGUGAAAUGCGCAGAUAUCAGGAAGAACACCCGUGGCUAAGGCGGCUCUCUAGUACGGUACUGACGCUGAGACGCGAAAGCGUGGGGAGCGAACAGG